rnacentral:tRNA from 1 species
UUGUCGGUGGAGAGCGGGUAUUGCUUGUGCGUGCUCAGAUCGAGCAGCAGCACCGACUGCGGCGCCGGAUCAUUGCGGCCGACAUA